AGUGAACGCUGGCGGUAGGCCUAACACAUGCAAGUCGAACGGCAGCACAGUAAGAGCUUGCUCUUACGGGUGGCGAGUGGCGGACGGGUGAGGAAUACAUCGGAAUCUACUUUUUCGUGGGGGAUAACGUAGGGAAACUUACGCUAAUACCGCAUACGACCUACGGGUGAAAGCAGGGGAUCUUCGGACCUUGCGCGAUUGAAUGAGCCGAUGUCGGAUUAGCUAGUUGGCGGGGUAAAGGCCCACCAAGGCGACGAUCCGUAGCUGGUCUGAGAGGAUGAUCAGCCGCACUUGAACUAAGACACGGUCCAGACUCCUACGGGAGGCAGCAGUGGGGAAUAUUGGACAAUGGGCGCAAGCCUGAUCCAGCCAUACCGCGUGGGUGAAGAAGGCCUUCGGGUUGUAAAGCCCUUUUGUUGGGAAAGAAAAGCAGCAGGUUAAUACCCCGCUGUUCUGACGGUACCCAAAGAAUAAGCACCGGCUAACUUCGUG
rnacentral:rRNA from 1 species